GAUGGUGUAGCAUCUUCAACCAAGACAGAUUCUAAGCCUAGAAUCUCCAACUGACAUAGCAUCUUAUGCUUCCACAACCCAAAGUCUCCUUUGCCAUCAAACUUCUCAAUAUCUCAAAUCUUGCAUUUGUUGGUUCCAUAGCUAGAUGUCUUCCUUACAAUCAAACCUGGAUUGCUCUGAUACCACUUGUAGAGAAAACUGAGAAUAAUAAUAGCUUGUAAAAGAAACAAACACAAGAAUUUGAUAACCGAGUUCACGGCUAACCGCUACGUCUCGGGGAAGGACUCUUAUUUCCAAGCUUCACUAUAUGAUCAUAGAGGUUACACACACCACUAACUUGUGAUGUCCUUGGUUCUUUUUCAGAUUUUACACACAAGAAGAACAAGAUUCAAGAACAACAAAGAGGAAGAAGAAAGCUUGCUUCGGAAGCUCUUUAUCUAUCUUCUCUUGAACUCUCUUUAGCUUGUCUUGUCACACAACUACCACCACCUCUCUUUGUACGUU
rnacentral:sRNA from 1 species